CAAGUCCUGCUGGAAAAUGAAGUCAGCAUCCCCAUAAAGCUCAUCUGCGGCAGGAAGCAUGAAGUGCUCCAAAAUCUCCUGGUAGACGGCUGUGUUGACCCUGGACUUAAUGAAGCACAGUGGACCAACACCAGCAGAUGACAUGGCUCCCCAAAUCAACGCAGACUGUGGAAACUUCACACAGGACUUCAAGCAUCUUGCAGUGUGUGCCUCUCCAUUCUUCCUCCAGACUCUGGGUCCUUGGUUUCCAA